rnacentral:rRNA from 1 species
AUUGAACGCUGGCGGCAGGCCUAACACAUGCAAGUCGAGCGGAUGAAGGGAGCUUGCUCCUGGAUUCAGCGGCGGACGGGUGAGUAAUGCCUAGGAAUCUGCCUGGUAGUGGGGGAUAACGUCCGGAAACGGGCGCUAAUACCGCAUACGUCCUGAGGGAGAAAGUGGGGGAUCUUCGGACCUCACGCUAUCAGAUGAGCCUAGGUCGGAUUAGCUAGUUGGUUGGGUAAAGGCCUACCAAGGCGACGAUCCGUAACUGGUCUGAGAGGAUGAUCAGUCACACUGGAACUGAGACACGGUCCAGACUCCGACGGGAGGCAGCAGUGGGGAAGAUUGGACAAUGGGCGAAAGCCUGAUACAGCCAUGCCGCGUGUGUGAAGAAGGUCUUCGGAUUGUAAAGCACUUUAAGUUGGGAGGAAGGGCAGUAAGUUAAUACCUUGCUGUUUUGACGUUACCAACAGAAUAAGCACCGGCUAACUUCGUG